AAUAGAUACCCAGGUAGUCCACGCUGUAAACGUUGGGCGCUAGGUGUGGUAGGCCUCUCCGGUUCUCUGUGCCGCAGCUAACGCAUUAAGCGCCCCGCCUGGGGAGUACGGCCGCAAGGCUAAAACUCAAAGGAAUUGACGGGGGGCCCGCACAAGCGGCGGAGCAUGCGGAUUAAUUCGAUGCAACGCGAAGAACCUUACCUGGGUUUGACAUGGCCGCAAAACCGGCAGAGAUGUCGGGUCCUUCGGGGGCGGUCACAGGUGGUGCAUGGCUGUCGUCAGCUCGUGUCGUGAGAUGUUGGGUUAAGUCCCGCAACGAGCGCAACCCUCGUUCGAUGUUGCCAGCGGUUCGGCCGGGGACUCAUCGGAAGACUGGCCGGGGUCAACUCGGAGGAAGGUGGGGAUGGACGUCAAGUCAUCAUGCCCCUUAUGUCCAGGGCUUCACGCAUGCUACAAUGGCCGGUACAAUGGGCUGCGAUACCGUGAGGUGGAGCGAAUCCCAAAAAGCCGGUCUCAGUUCGGAUCGGGGUCUGCAACUCCCG
rnacentral:rRNA from 1 species